UACGAAGGGGGCUAGCGUUGUUCGGAAUUACUGGGCGUAAAGGGCGCGUAGGCGAUCCUUCAAGUCAGGCGUGAAAGCCCCGGGCUCAACCUGGGAACCGCGCUUGAGACUGGCGGACUCGAGUUCGGGAGAGGAUGGUGGAAUUCCCAGUGUAGAGGUGAAAUUCGUAGAUAUUGGGAAGAACACCGAUGGCGAAGGCAGCCAUCUGGACCGACACUGACGCUGAGGCGCGAAAGCGUGGGGAGCAAACAGGG
rnacentral:rRNA from 1 species